CCUACGGGAGGCAGCAGUGGGGAAUAUUGGACAAUGGGGGGAACCCUGAUCCAGCGACGCCGCGUGAGUGAAGAAGUAUUUCGGUAUGUAAAGCUCUAUCAGCAGGGAAGAAAGAAAUGACGUUACCUGACUAAGAAGCCCCGGCUAACUACGUGCCAGCAGCCGCGGUAAUACGUAGGGGGCAAGCGUUAUCCGGAUUUACUGGGUGGAAAGGGGGCGUAGACGGCGAUGCAAGUCUGAAGUGAAAGGCGGGGGCGCAACCCCCGGACUGCUUUGGAAACUGUAUGGCUGGAGUGCAGGAGAGGCAAGUGGAAUUCCUAGUGUAGCGGUGAAAUGCGUAGAUAUUAGGAGGAACACCAGUGGCGAAGGCGGCUUACUGGACUGUAACUGACGGUGAGGCUCGAAAGCGUGGGGAGCAAACAGGAUUAGAUACCCCAGUAGUC
rnacentral:rRNA from 1 species